rnacentral:hammerhead_ribozyme from 1 species
AUCCAGUUGACGAGUCCCAAAUAAGACGAAAUGCGCCUUAUCCUGGAU